rnacentral:sRNA from 1 species
GCUGGGCAUGGUGGCGCACACCUGUAAUCCCAGCAGCUUGGGAGGCUGAGGCAGGAGGAUUCCAAGUCCAAAGUCAGCCUCAGCCAUUUAGCGAGGCCUUAUGUAACUUAGCAAGACCCUGCCUCUA